AUGUCGUCAACUGGGUCUGCCGAAUGGACCGAUGAGAAUACUCGGAUUAUCGUGGAGUUGUUUGUGAAACAAGUGAAGGCUGGAAACAUGCCAACCACUCAUUUGACACCCAGUGCAUAUGAUGAGGUGGGAAAGGAGUUCUUGAUGAGAACUGGGCUUGAGUACACACCAAAGCAAGUGAGGAACAAAUGGACCAAGUUAAAACGUGAGUACAACACAUUCAAGAAGCUCAAGUUGCGCGAGACUGGAGGGGGUUGGGACUUUGAGAAAAACACUGUUAAACAAGAUAAUGAGUGGUGGAAAAAGGCGAAAGUUGUAAGUUCGCAUGCUUAUGUUUCUCAGAAAAUAAAAUCUGAACUUGUCAUGCUUUAUGUACUAAUGUCUCUCUUUCAUACAAUAGGACCUUCCAGGUUGUGGCAAGUUCAAGAAGCAUGGACUCCGUAA
rnacentral:rRNA from 1 species